GGGCGCGCGGAGAGGGAGCGGGAGGGAGCCCUCGGAGGGAGUCGGGGAAGGAAGACCUGCAUAGCUACAGCCAAUCAGGACGGCUUGUGGGGCUCUUAAAGAGGAAGGCGCCCUCCUGGCCUCCGCUGCCCCGGGCUCCCGUGAGCGCGACGGGCGGGCUCGCGGGGCAGGCGCUUGGCCCCUCCGCCCGAGGGUGGGGGCAUGUGGCUCCCCCGCCAGGGAGCCUGCAGCGUGGCUCACGGCACUUUUGUCGUUUUUGUGUGCUUCUCCAGUUCCAAAAAAUAUCUUUCCCUUUUUUUUUUUUUUUUUUUUUUUUUUGAAGCCACAGUUCACUGGUGUUGGCGGAUUUAAAAUACUUGCCUGGGGUAGCAACACAGGUUAAGGCCAUAUCCGAGAUGAGAAUCAGAAGCGCACGCGUCUGCAGGUUCAACUGGCUCCUUGGGCCAGUGGAGGGAGGGAUGGAGGCAGCUGCUCAACUUUUAACAGGCAGCCGCAACCAGACACACAGUAGGUACUCAAUUAGUGCCUUUUAGAUGAUACGUGAUUUAGUAGCCACCAGUGCCCUGUCCACCGCGCAGCCCAUCCGCGGCGGAGCUCUGCUUACUGCUAACUCUGGACUAAUCAGCGCCCUUCCGCCCUUCUGGACUCCGCUGAUGGAACAGUACCGUAAAGUCAGCACCGUUGUGAACGGGGCUUUAGAAAAAUCACCCAGAACGUUCCAAGGAAAAUUACCCCGUGAAAAACUUGUGUAUGUUCAUUCCUCUCUCGCAGACAAUUCAGAGCUGUUCAGAGGGAGCCCUAAUUGCACAGAAAUGCUGACGGGGUGAGCUGGUCGUGUUCUAAGCAGGGAUUUGGAGGCAAAAAGCGGCAACAUUUGACUGACAGUAAGUGGUGGAGAAGAUGCCGAAAUCCAGUUCCUGGACACUCGGGAGGUGCUCUUUUACACCGUCUCCCCGUGAAAUUUUGCACUGGGACCACCAGGGCUUCCCUCCAGUAGAAAUGAAGCCAGAUUUCCACUCCAAGCUGAAAUGCUAACAUCUUCCUCCACUUAAGAGCUUUACUUCUUCAAUUAUUUUACAUAUAGCCUCAUACCUUUUAAAAAUUUUCCCAUGUAUAUGAAGGAGUUUAAAAAUUCUUAAUCACUAUAUCUCAGAGUAAGGACCCUAUUUAUUCUCAAACCUUGUCUACAAUAGAGAUCUUGAACUUGUGGCCUACCUGCAUGUGUAGGACAAUAGUUCUUACCAGGUACUCAAUUUAUCAAUUCUCAACGGUUUUUUGUAAUCUUACCAUCUCUUAAAACCAUAAAAUCUAUAGUUUCUGUCCCCCAUUAUUUGGCCUACAUGCCCAUACUUUUGAGGGAAGAAUUUAUUUUGGAUCAGU